AAGUCGUAACAAGGUUUCCGUAGGUGAACCUGCGGAAGGAUCAUUAUUUAUAUGUGGGCGAGGGGUGAGUGUUUUUUGUUGGAUGGUUGGGUACUCUUGUCUUUUGACAUGACGUCCAGCCGCCGACUGCACGCACUCCUUGCUUUCCACACCACCCUUGUGUGAAUUGUAAACUUGAACUGCUUUGACGAGGGUGCGACUGUGUCGUUCUCGACAUGGCCCCCACGUGUAUUUAGUGUUGUUGCCUCGCAGCGACGGUGAAUGCAACCUCGUCAAAGACUUACAAAAAACAAACCUCGAACUUUUGUCUAAACUAAAUCAUCGUGGAGCUCUUGCAUAAAGAACCACACAAUCGGAAUAAUAAAAAACAACUUUUAACAACGGAUCUCUUGGCUCUCC
rnacentral:misc_RNA from 1 species